UACGGAGGGUGCGAGCGUUGUCCGGAUUCAUUGGGCGUAAAGGGUGCGUAGGUGGCGCCGUAAGUCGGGUGUGAAAUUUCGGAGCUUAACUCCGAAACUGCAUUCGAUACUGCGGUGCUUGAGGACUGGAGAGGAGACUGGAAUUCAUGGUGUAGCAGUGAAAUGCGUAGAGAUCAUGAGGAAGACCAGUGGCGAAGGCGGGUCGUCUGGACAGUUCCUGACACUGAGGCACGAAGGCCAGGGGAGCAAACGGG
rnacentral:rRNA from 1 species